UACGUAGGUGGCGAGCGUUGUCCGGAUUUACUGGGCGUAAAGGGAGCGUAGGCGGACUUUUAAGUGAGAUGUGAAAUACCCGGGCUCAACUUGGGUGCUGCAUUUCAAACUGGAAGUCUAGAGUGCAGGAGAGGAGAAUGGAAUUCCUAGUGUAGCGGUGAAAUGCGUAGAGAUUAGGAAGAACACCAGUGGCGAAGGCGAUUCUCUGGACUGUAACUGACGCUGAGGCUCGAAAGCGUGGGGAG
rnacentral:rRNA from 1 species